UAGUUGUUUAGUUGUUGUUGGGUGUAGUGAAGGGUUAACCUUCUGUGCCUCGAGCCUGAGAGGAGGCGCGUACAAGGGAAGUACGCCAGGACGUGACGAAAGCAGCUUGGAAUGCUGUGAGCUGAGUGGAAAUCGAAAGCAGGUUGUUGCGUCGCUGCACUGAGAGAGAAGGACGCAGAGAAAAUGCAGCUCCACUCUGAUGGCUGUUAUGGAUUGUAAAUACGCCAUUUUGUUCCCAAUAAAGAGAUAUUAGGAUAGAAGAAACGUUUGGA
rnacentral:lncRNA from 1 species